ensembl:lncRNA
GUAGAACCAGGUCAAGUGUUUUGUUUGGAAAUGCCGAAGCCACCGCGAGGUCGAGACUCUAAAGGGACGUCCUCCUGCGUGAAGGUCAAGUGGGACGGGACACUGUGGGGGAAACGAGACGCGUUGACGGGAACACCCUUUUUCGCCGGAAGCUUCUUGAGGGGUCAGGAGGAACCGAUCCACAAGGAGAACUCGGCGAGAUGGAUUAAAUUCAGUCCGACGGAUCUUCUUUUAAAAAGGUGGAUCUUCUGGAACAUCAACAAAAAAAAAAAAAACGAACUAAAUCAAACAUAUGUGCCUGGUUGCAAAUGAUAAUACAAAAGACUUAAGUUUUUAAAAAAAGAAAAGAGGAAAAAAAAAACAAAAAAAAAAGAAGAAGAAUAUCGUGAGAGGAUUUAUUUUCAUGGACAUGUCUUUAGAAACGUGGCGUUGCUGUCUGUGCCAUAACCGGGACGGAGGACGGAGUUGCGAUCUGUGAAGACAGCGUUUGCCUGCGGGGAUGCGAAUGUGUUGGUGACCCUUUUUAAAAGCUGGAGUUUUACCGUUCUUAUUGAUUGCCGCCGUGUGAUUAAUAACGCCGAUUCCAGCGGGUUUUUUUUUUUUUUUUUUUUUUUGUUCCCACGCCGACUCUCGGCCGUUCUGAAUGGAAACGAAACUGGCGAAAUGUUGACCUGUUGUGUACAAUUAAAACAGAGACC